CUCCAGACUCCUACGGGAGGCAGCAGUGGGGAAUAUUGCACAAUGGGGGGAACCCUGAUGCAGCGACGCCGCGUGAGUGAAGAAGUAUUUCGGUAUGUAAAGCUCUGCCAGCAGGGAAGAAGAAAGACGGUACCUGACCAAGAAGCCCCGACUAACUACGUGCCAGCAGCCGCGGUAAUACGUAGGGGGCAAGCGUUAUCCGGAUUUACUGGGUGUAAAGGGAGCGUAGACGGCAGGGCAAGUCUGGAGUGAAAAGCAGGGGCCCAACCCCUGGACUGCUCUGGAAACUGGCCGGCUGGGGUGCAGGAGAGGUAAGUGGAAUUCCUAGUGUAGCGGUGAAAUGCGUAGAUAUUAGGAGGAACACCAGGGGCGAAGGCGGCUUACUGGACUGUAACUGACGUUGAGGCUCGAAAGCGUGGGGAGCAAACAGGAUUAGAUACCCCCGUAU
rnacentral:rRNA from 1 species